rnacentral:rRNA from 1 species
CAGUCGCCGCGGGAAUACAGAGGGUGCGAGCGUUAAUCGGAUUUACUGGGCGUAAAGCGUGCGUAGGCGGCUUCUUAAGUCGGAUGUGAAAUCCCUGAGCUUAACUUAGGAAUUGCAUUCGAUACUGGGAAGCUAGAGUAUGGGAGAGGAUGGUAGAAUUCCAGGUGUAGCGGUGAAAUGCGUAGAGAUCUGGAGGAAUACCGACGGCGAAGGCAGCCAUCUGGCCUAAUACUGACGCUGAGGUACGAAAGCAUGGGGAGCAAACAGGAUUAGAUACCCCGGUAGUCCCUGUCUCUUAUAC